rnacentral:rRNA from 1 species
GACGAACGCUGGCGGCGUGCUUAACACAUGCAAGUCGAACGGAAAGGCCCUGCUUGCAGGGUACUCGAGUGGCGAACGGGUGAGUAACACGUGGGUGAUCUGCCCUGCACUUCGGGAUAAGCCUGGGAAACUGGGUCUAAUACCGGAUAGGAGCCAUUUUUAGUGUGAUGGUUGGAAAGUUUUUUCGGUGUAGGAUGAGCUCGCGGCCUAUCAGCUUGUUGGUGGGGUAAUGGCCUACCAAGGCGGCGACGGGUAGCCGGCCUGAGAGGGUGGACGGCCACAUUGGGACUGAGAUACGGCCCCGACGCCUACGGGAGGCAGCAGUGGGGAAUAUUGCACCAUGGGCGCAAGCCUGAUGCAGCGACGCCGCGUGGGGGAUGACGGCCUUCGGGUUGUAAACUCCUUUCGCUAGGGACGAAGCUUUUUGUGACGGUACCUAGAUAAGAAGCACCGGCUAACUACGUG